AAAUUGAAGAGUUUGAUCAUGGCUCAGAUUGAACGCUGGCGGCAGGCCUAACACAUGCAAGUCGAACGGUAACAGGAAGCAGCUUGCUGCUUCGCUGACGAGUGGCGGACGGGUGAGUAAUGUCUGGGAAACUGCCUGAUGGAGGGGGAUAACUACUGGAAACGGUGGCUAAUACCGCAUAAUGUCGCAAGACCAAAGAGGGGGACCUUCGGGCCUCUUGCCAUCAGAUGUGCCCAGAUGGGAUUAGCUUGUUG
rnacentral:rRNA from 1 species